AACGAACGCUGGCGGCAGGCCUAACACAUGCAAGUCGAACGCCGUAGCAAUACGGAGUGGCAGACGGGUGAGUAACACGUGGGAACGUACCCUUCGGUUCGGGAUAACUCAGGGAAACUUGAGCUAAUACCGGAUACGUCCGAGAGGAGAAAGAUUUAUUGCCGAGGGAUCGGCCCGCGUCUGAUUAGCUUGUUGGUGAGGUAACGGCUCACCAAGGCGACGAUCAGUAGCUGGCUGAGAGGAUGGCCAGCCACAUUGGGACUGAGACACGGCCCAGACUCCUACGGGAGGCAGCAGUGGGGAAUAUUGCGCAAUGGGCGAAAGCCUGACGCAGCGACGCCGCGUGUGGGAUGAAGGCCUUC
rnacentral:rRNA from 1 species